rnacentral:rRNA from 1 species
UACGAAGGGGGCUAGCGUUGUUCGGAUUUACUGGGCGUAAAGCGCACGUAGGCGGAUUGGUCAGUUAGGGGUGAAAUCCUGGAGCUCAACUCCAGAACUGCCUUUAAUACUGCCAGUCUCGAGUCCGGAAGAGGUAAGUGGAACUCCUAGUGUAGAGGUGGAAUUCGUAGAUAUUAGGAAGAACACCAGUGGCGAAGGCGGCUACUGGUCCGGUACUGACGCUGAGGUGCGAAAGCCGUGGGGAGCAAACAGG